CCUACGGGUGACUGCAGUGGGGAAUAUUGGGCAAUGGGCGCAAGCCUGACCCAGCAACGCCGCGUGAAGGAAGAAGGCUUUCGGGUUGUAAACUUCUUUUCUCAGGGACGAAGCAAGUGACGGUACCUGAGGAAUAAGCCACGGCUAACUACGUGCCAGCAGCCGCGGUAAUACGUAGGUGGCAAGCGUUAUCCGGAUUUACUGGGUGUAAAGGGCGUGUAGGCGGGACUGCAAGUCAGAUGUGAAAACCAUGGGCUCAACCUAUGGCCUGCAUUUGAAACUGUAGUUCUUGAGUGCUGGAGAGGCAGACGGAAUUCCUAGUGUAGCGGUGAAAUGCGUAGAUAUUAGGAGGAACACCAGUGGCGAAGGCGGUCUGCUGGACAGCAACUGACGCUGAGGCGCGAAAGCGUGGGGAGCAAACAGGAUUAGAUACCCUUGUAGUC
rnacentral:rRNA from 1 species